rfam:Myotis davidii contig102367, whole genome shotgun sequence.
AGAGGUUCUCGGGUGAUGCACCCAGAACCAGAGAGGAGGGAGCCUGAUUCCAGGGUGCAUCACCCGAGAACUGCC